AAAAUUUUAAGCCAACAGACGAACACCUAAACUGUCGUGUGCGGACAAGAAAAAAAACGCAAGCAUCAUGAAAAAUUUGGGAAUUUUCUUAGUCGUUGUACUAAUUGGAAUGACUGUUGCAUUUCCAAUGGGAUCCCAAACAGUCACAGGAUACUGUCCUCCCGGGGUCAGAGUUCACGACUGUAAAGUGGACCAGUGUGAAUACAUCGACUGUGGGAGAUACGCCACAUGCAAGGCAAACAAUUGUGGCGGAUGUUUCGCUAAAUGCGUCUACAACAAGGGAUAGUGAGAAGAGCAAACCGGGCGGCUAUUUCCUCUGACCAUGAUUCUCAGUUUUUGACAUCUUUUAUCCGCGGAACACGCAUGCGCAUAGACAUGUGCUUUAUAAACCAAAUACUCUCUAUAAUUACAUAAAAAUUUAACUGUUCUGCUAAAAAUGAACAUUGAAUUUCAUGUGAUUGCAUGUUAAAUAUGAUGACAAGACAGCAUUUUGAGUAAUCCUAGACCAGUGGCGUCUAAUAAAUUGCAAUCAACGACACUGUUUUUUUUGUUAUCUAAUUCUGCUUCAGACACGGUGCUAGUGGGCUACUAUUUAUGCAUUAACAUGAACAGUUAAAUAAAACCCUAACUGAGCUAAACUGACAAGAGGCCGUAUUUCAUCGGUUACGUGUGACCAUUUGUCGCUUAUCACACUGUCGUCGCUGCUCUGGUUUUACUCUCUUUGCUGUACAUCUUUAAUUAUAUUUUCGCCUUCAAACCAUAUUACUGGCUUAUGUUACCGCUUUCAUUUUCCACUGGAAACAAUAAUUGACUCUCAGGUAGUGAUCUCAACAUAGACAGAGGCUUUCAGUGAUUUGUUUCGCAGGUUGGAUGAAUAUGUCCCAUGAACUUCAAACUUACAAGAUUUACCGUGUAUGUAAACUAGUAAAUAAAGACUAAACGACUGAAA